CAAGAGUGAAAAAGUGUGUGUCGGGGUCGACGUCGGAGAGGCCAUAAAAAGCCUCAGACCACCAUUCAUACGUUUUUCGUUCAUGCACUACAUUGUAGCAAACAUUUAUGCUUUGGGUGUUUCCUCUGUGUACUUUUAAGGGUUUCAAUCGGUUUUGAUCUUUGGGUUUCUAUUCUUUGAACUUUGAAUGCAGGGCAUUUUUCUCCCAUUUUUAUUGUCUAAUUACUCAUACUUAACAUUACAGUAGAGGAAGAAUGGGAAACGAACAGGAGGACAAAGAAAUGGAAAUGGGUUCAAUUGUAGUUGAAAAGGUCGGCGGCAGAUCAUCAGUGGUACACUGCUUCUCAAGAUAUCCCGUCAAGUUCAUUAUACCCAAAAAGGUGGGUUCUUCCAGAACUGAUGUUGUAUGGGUUUAUGCCCUCAAUUAUGGAGGUGGAAUUGUAUCGGGUGAUCAAAUUUUAUGCAAAUUUUCAGUGGGAGAUUGUUGUACAAUGGUGUUAACCACGCAAGGUUCCACUAAGGUCUACAAAUCAGUGGGAUCUAAGUGCUCUAAACAACUAUUGGAGGCAAGGGUUGGAAGCAAUGCACUUUUAGCCAUCAUUCCAGAUCCUGUAACAUGUUUCUCCACUGCAAGAUACUACCAGAAGCAAGUAUUUAAUGUGUCUUCAAACUCAAAUCUGGUCAUUGUUGAUUGGAUAACCAGUGGGCGACAUGAAAGUGGAGAAAAAUGGGAUUUUGAUCUUUAUAGAAGCAUCAAUAAUAUAUUCUUGGAGGAUGGUGAACCAUUGUUUCUCGAUACGAUGUCAUUAGAGAAAGAAAAAAUUGGCUGCAUACAUGAACUUGUGCAGGACUACCAAGUGAUUGCAAUGAUUCUACUACUGGGGCCAAAGUUGCAGUUUGUGCAGAAUCUGGUGCAAGAUAAGGUAAAAGGAAUUAUGUCUGAGCAAUUGCAGCAUCCUUCAGGUGCCUUGAGUCACAAAAGAAAUGAGGCUGGUUAUUUCAUUUCCAAGCCAAGCUUGAUGGCUUCUUGCAGUGUCUUUGGGACUAAGGGUAUGUGUAGAACCAAUUUGGGCAUAUUUGGCUUGAAAGCUUUUACAAAUCGAUAGAAACUAGGGGAAGAAAAACAAGAAAUGCUAACUUCAUGAUCUCGGCCCAUUCCAAUCUUUACAAACGUUGAUGUCUUGCCCAAAAGCUUGAGCCCAAGAGAGGAUGGUGAAGUUUUCCACAACAUUUUCUAAGAAAAUUUUGUCAUCCACAAAUUACAAAAGAUAGAUUGUAGUCUUAGUGCCUAGAAGGCCACUUUAGGACUUUCACAACAAAAGUAAACGAAAAUGGAGAUUUCUUACUGCCUUUUUCCCCACAAAACCAUGCUCUUUUCUCAUCAUUAAUAAUCACAGUUCUUGCCGUGCAGCUUCUUCACUUAGAUUCAGGUCUUUUCCCCCCUCGAAAACCCUUAUCAUAAAAUCCCCAACUUAUACUUCGUAAGCGUUCUCAAAGUCCUUUAUAUGUAUUUUUAUAUAUAUUUAAAUAAGUAGAUUAGCCUGUUUUUAAGUGCAUCCAAAAUUUGUUUGGCUAUAAUUAGAGUACUGCGGAUUUCAGUGUUAUGAAUUAAAUUUUCUCUAUUAUCUAAUUCAGGCCAAACAAACGACAUGUCUUGUGAUUUAUUUUAUUUUAUUUUUGAAGACUAGCAACAUGGCUGACAGGUUACUACUUGGGGUAUGUUUGUAUUAAAAGUUCCACAUCAGUUAAUGAUAUGAUCUUUAGAGAAUUUUUAAAGAUGGGGCAUCUGUCACCUCUUAAGCUAGCUUUUGGGAUAAGUUAGGUUCAGCCAAUUCUGAUAGUUUGUUUGGAGGGUAAUAGAUGAUAUCUAUUAAUAACCCUGAAAAUGUCUAGGUGUCGAACCAUCAGGUCCUUGGCCUUGAUUUUCCAAAGAGCUUCUCUUCUGUAACUGUGCACCAGUCUCAAUCCUCCACUAGUUAACAUCUAUGUGUAUUUAAUAUGUUACCUAUUAAUGCAGAAGUUUUCAUUUACACUCUCUUA